UACGAAGGGGGCUAGCGUUGUUCGGAAUCACUGGGCGUAAAGGGCGCGUAGGCGGCCGCUCAAGUCGGGGGUGAAAGCCUGUGGCUUAACCACAGAAUUGCCUUCGAUACUGUUUGGCUUGAGACCGGAAGAGGUGAGUGGAACUGCGGGUGUAGAGGUGAAAUUCGUAGAUAUUCGCAAGAACACCAGUGGCGAAGGCGGCUCACUGGUCCGGUUCUGACGCUGAGGCGCGAAAGCGUGGGGAGCAAACAGG
rnacentral:rRNA from 1 species